CAGGGUGCCCUGACUUUCCGUAAAUGACGGCGGCCAGGAAGCUCUGGGGCCGCACAGGAAGGAGCAGGGACUUUCCUGUCGCAGCCCCGGCUGUCCCCUGCCUCGGCGCAGCUGCAGGUUAUUAUUCUCAUGGCACCUCCAAGUGAGGAGACACCUCUGAUCUCUCAGCGCUCUUGCAGCCUCUCAUCCUCAGAGGCAGGAGCCCUGCAUGUGCUCCUUCCUCCCCGGGGACCUGGGCCUCCUCAGCGACUGUCGUUCUCUUUUGGGGACUACUUGGCUGAGGAUCUGUGUGUGCGGGCUGCCAAGGCCUGUGGCAUCCUGCCUGUUUAUCAUUCGCUCUUCGCUCUGGCCACUGAGGAUUUGUCUUGCUGGUUCCCUCCAAGCCACAUCUUCUCCAUAGAAGACGCGGACACUCAAGUCUUGGUCUACAGGCUACGCUUUUAUUUCCCUGACUGGUUUGGCCUGGAGACAUGUCACCGCUUUGGGCUGCGCAAAGAUUUGACCAGUGCCAUCCUUGACGUACAUGUUUUAGAACAUCUCUUUGCUCAGCACCGCAGUGACCUAGUGAGUGGGCGCCUCCCAGUGGGCCUUAGCCUGAAGGACCAGGGAGAGUUCCUGAGUCUGGCCGUGCUGGACUUGGCCCAGAUGGCUCGUGAGCAGGCCCAGCGGCCAGGAGAGCUGCUGAAGAUCGUCAGUUACAAAGCCUGUCUGCCGCCCAGCCUGCGCGAUGUGAUCCAGGGCCAGAACUUCGUGACACGUAGGCGCAUCCGCAGGACCGUGGUCCAGGCGCUGCGCCGCGUGGUCGCCUGCCAGGCCGACCGCUACGCGCUCAUGGCCAAGUACAUCCUGGACCUGGAGCGGCUACAUCCAGCGGCCACCACCGAGGCCUUCAGCGUGGGGCUCCCGGGCGCCCAGGAGGAGCCGGGGCUCCUGCGUGUGGCAGGGAGCAACGGCAUCGCCUGGAGCUCCGGGGACCUGGAGCUUUUUCAGACCUUCUGUGACUUUCCCGAAAUCGUGGAUGUCAGCAUAAAGCAGGCCCCACGCGUGGGUCCCGCAGGGGAGCACCGGCUGGUCACCAUCACCAGGAUGGACGGUCACAUCCUGGAAGCGGAGUUCCCGGGGCUGCCUGAGGCACUGUCCUUCGUGGCCCUCGUGGAUGGGUACUUCCGCCUGACCUGCGACUCCAGGCAUUACUUCUGCAAGGAGGUAGCGCCGCCGCGGCUGCUGGAGGAGGAGGCGGAGCUGUGCCAUGGACCUAUCACGUUAGACUUUGCCAUUCACAAGCUGAAGGCCGCUGGCUCCCUCCCGGGCUCCUACAUUCUCCGCCGCAGCCCGCAGGACUAUGACAGUUUUCUUCUUACAGCCUGUGUCCAGACUCCCCUUGGCCCCGACUACAAGGGCUGCCUCAUCCGCCAGGACCCCAGCGGGGCUUUCUCCCUGGUUGGCCUCAGCCAGCCGCACAGAAGCCUGCGGGAGCUGCUUGCGGCCAGCUGGCAUUCUGGGCUGCGAGUAGAUGGCGCUGCCCUGAACCUCACAUCCUGUUGCGCUCCCAGACCCAAGGAAAAGUCCAAUUUGAUCGUGGUGCGAAGGGGCUGCACCCCCGCGCCUGCCCCCGGCCGCUCCCCGUCCUGCAGUGCGCUGACGCAGCUGAGCUUCCACACAAUCCCAGCGGACAGCCUGGAGUGGCACGAGAACCUGGGUCAUGGCUCUUUUACCAAGAUCUUCCGUGGCCGCAGGCAGGAAGUCGUGGACGGCGAGACACAUGACACGGAAGUCCUCCUGAAGGUCAUGGACUCCAGACAUCAGAACUGCAUGGAGUCCUUUCUGGAAGCUGCAAGCUUGAUGAGCCAAGUAUCCUAUCCACACCUGGUGUUACUGCACGGCGUCUGCAUGGCUGGAGACAGCAUCAUGGUGCAGGAAUUUGUGUACCUGGGAGCAAUUGACACGUACCUGCGCAAGCGUGGCCACCUGGUGCCGGCCAGCUGGAAACUGCAGGUGACCAAGCAGCUGGCAUAUGCCCUUAACUACUUGGAGGACAAAGGUCUCCCUCACGGCAACGUCUCCGCACGGAAGGUGCUCCUGGCUCGCGAGGGGGUUGAUGGGAAUCCACCUUUCAUCAAGCUGAGUGAUCCUGGUGUCAGUCCAACUGUGCUGAGCCUGGAAAUGCUCACCGACAGGAUACCCUGGGUGGCCCCCGAGUGUCUCCAGGAAGCCCAGACGCUCGGCUUGGAGGCUGACAAGUGGGGCUUUGGCGCCACCACGUGGGAGGUGUUCAGCGGGGGACCGGCGCACAUCACCUCGCUGGAGCCCGCCAAGAAGCUGAAGUUCUACGAGGACCGGGGACAGCUGCCCGCCCUCAAAUGGACAGAACUGGCGGGGCUUAUCGCACAGUGCAUGGCGUACGAUCCUGGCCAGCGCCCUUCCUUCCGAGCUAUCCUCAGAGACCUCAACGGCCUCAUUACCUCAGAUUACGAGCUCCUCUCAGACCCCACACCUGGCAGUCCGAGUCCCCGAGAUGAGCUGUGCAGUGGCGCCCAGCUUUAUGCCUGCCAGGACCCCGCCAUCUUCGAGGAGAGACACCUUAAGUACAUCUCACUGCUGGGCAAGGGCAACUUUGGAAGCGUGGAGCUGUGCCGCUACGAUCCUCUGGGGGACAAUACGGGACCCCUGGUGGCAGUGAAGCAGCUACAGCACAGCGGGCCAGACCAGCAGAGGGACUUCCAGCGGGAGAUUCAGAUCCUCAAGGCUCUGCACAGCGACUUCAUCGUCAAGUACCGGGGAGUCAGCUAUGGGCCCGGUCGCCAGAGCCUGCGUCUGGUGAUGGAGUACCUGCCCAGCGGCUGCCUGCGGGACUUUCUGCAGCGCCACCGCGCGCGCCUGCACACCGACCGCCUGCUGCUGUUCGCCUGGCAGAUCUGUAAGGGCAUGGAGUACCUGGGCGCGCGCCGCUGCGUGCAUCGUGACUUGGCUGCGCGCAACAUCCUGGUGGAGAGCGAGGCGCACGUAAAGAUCGCGGACUUCGGCCUCGCUAAGCUGCUGCCCCUCGGAAAGGACUACUACGUGGUCCGCGAGCCUGGCCAGAGCCCCAUCUUUUGGUAGAAGACGCGUCACGCCCACUGAGCCCCUGCUCCCACACUCUACAACCUCAAUCCGGUCCAGACCCAGUUCCACCUCGCUAGCCUUGCCCUCGCAAGGGCCUAGCUCACAGCAGAGUCAGCCCCGUAGCCACGCUCCACGAAGCCAUGCCCACAACUCUACCGAUGUACCCCGCCCUACUGUGCAGUCAGGAUUACCUCACCCACUCCACAGAGUGAUACUCCAACCGGUUUAGCCACGCCCCUCAUUGUUCUGGCUCGGUCCUCCGUGGCCACAGUCAGCCAGGCCCUUCAUAGGUCUCUUUUCAAGCUCCGCCCCCUCCGCAGGUCCCGCCUUUUACGCUCUAUGGGGUCCGACCCUCUCAGCGUCACCCAUUUCUGUCAGUCUUACUGAGCUCUCUUUGGUCGCUGGCUCCUCCCCUUAUGAAACCUAGGCCUAUCUGCCCAGGCACUUUCCCAGCUGCCCAUCAUCCAAUGCUGACCCACCCAAAGCCCGGCCCUUAACACUUAAGAGUCCCUCUCUCAGCCUGGCCACGCCCACAGGUCGCCAGACAGCCUCCGAACCGCCUUUAGAGGGCGGUGCUACUAUGUAGUCUUUCCUAGCCCCAGACUGACCACACCUCACCGCACACUGACGGCGCCCUCCUCAGGCCACUGUUUCACACCCCGCCAACCAUCCUCACUGGCCACACCCUUCUCUGAUCACGCUUCUAUCCCGUUCUCAGGAGUUCCUGCGCAUGAUGGGGCCUGAGCGUGAAGGACCCCCACUCUGCCGCCUCCUGGAGCUUCUGGCCGAGGGCCAACGCCUCCCAUCACCUCCUACCUGCCCCACCGA